rnacentral:rRNA from 1 species
GGACCCGCACAAGCAGUGGAGCAUGUGGUUUAAUUCGAAGAUACGCGCAGAACCUUACCAACACUUGACAUGUUCGUCGCGACUCUAAGAGAUUAGAGUUUUCGGUUCGGCCGGACGAAACACAGGUGCUGCAUGGCUGUCGUCAGCUCGUGUCGUGAGAUGUUGGGUUAAGUCCCGUAACGAGCGCAACCCUUGUCCUUAGUUGCCAGCACAUUAUGGUGGGAACUCUAAGGAGACUGCCGGUGACAAACUGGAGGAAGGAAAGGAUGAUGUCAAGUCAUCAUGGCCCUUAUGGGCUGGGCUACACACGUGCUACAAUGGUGGUUACAAAAAGACGCAAUAGGGCGACCUGGAGCAAAUCUAUAAAAGCCAUCUCAGUUCGGAUUGUUCUCUGCAACUCGAGAGCAUGAAGUUGGAAUCGCUAGUAAUCGU